GGGACCUUGAUCCCGUCUGUGCAUGGACUUGCACAAGAUUGUGGACCUUUCUGGAGCAUGUUCUUGGAUAUAUGAGAAAUAAAAAGAAAACCCAGGGAAGCCACCACAGCACGUCUCUUCAAAUGGUGAAUCUGGCAUUCUUUUCCACACUGAAGACUGUGAUGAAUCCCUCUUUAUUACUAGAGUGUUACAAAUAGCAGGCAUAGAGCAUGGACCCAAGAACUUUUUACUUAACUUAAGUAUGGUCAUCAAUAUGAAAUUUAGGGCUAUGACUAGACCUCUUCUAGGCAAGUGGUGAUGAUCUUGUACAUUGAAGACAACAGAAACAUAUACAGAGCACACAACAAAGGAAACCCAAGCAUGACUUUGGUGGCCAGUGGCCAUAAUUUUACUGACAUAUGUUCCAUGCUUGCAUACAAUGAUCUCUGUCUCUUAAAACUGCUCAUAAGCUUCCAUUUCUAGCGAGAAAAAAGUGACAGGAACUGUGUUUACCAUCCUCCUUACAAAAAAAUUAACAUCAAAACAGAGAGAAAAUAUUGUCUUUAAGAUACCAACAAUGAAACUUGGAUUAUAUAAUAGGUGUAUAUUGAACUUAUGCAGAAACUGCCAUAUUGUUUUUCAAGACAACUGUGUCCUCUCCCUUCCUUUCUUUUUUCCUUCCAUGCAUCAUUUUCUUUCUCCCUCGUUUGGUUGUGUGUGUGUGUGUGUGUGUGUGUGUGUUUUAAUGAGAGCUCCAGUUCCUCUUCAUCUUUCUUCACCAGCACUUGGUACAGCUAGACCUUUUAAUUUAGCCAUCCUCAUGGGUCUAUAGUGAUAUGGCAUUGAGAUUUUAAUUAUCAUUUCCUUGAUAGAUUGAGCUUUUUAUAUAAUUAAUAAAAAAAAAAUUUGACACGCAAGGCCACAAAAUUUUUCUCCUUGUUGUUGUCUAGAAGAAUUGCA